rnacentral:rRNA from 1 species
AGUGAACGCUGGCGGUAGGCCUAACACAUGCAAGUCGAACGGCAGCACAGUAAGAGCUUGCUCUUACGGGUGGCGAGUGGCGGACGGGUGAGGAAUACAUCGGAAUCUACUUUUUCGUGGGGGAUAACGUAGGGAAACUUACGCUAAUACCGCAUACGACCUACGGGUGAAAGCAGGGGAUCUUCGGACCUUGCGCGAUUGAAUGAGCCGAUGUCGGAUUAGCUAGUUGGCGGGGUAAAGGCCCACCAAGGCGACGAUCCGUAGCUGGUCUGAGAGGGUGAUCAGCCACACUGUAACUGAGACACGGUCCAGACUCCUACGGGAGGCAGCAGUGGGGAAUAUUGGACGAUGGGCGCAAGCCUGAUCCAGCCAUACCGCGUGGGUGAAGAAGGCCUUCUGGUUGUAAAGCCCUUUUGUUGGGAAAGAAAAGCAGCAGGUUAAUACCCCGCUGUUCUGACGGUACCCAAAGAAUAAGCACCGGCUAACUUCGUG